rnacentral:lncRNA from 1 species
GCUGAUUUCAUUUCUAUCCCCAGGAGUUUGACUAACCUAUGGCUUUUGGAGCACAUAUCGCUCCGAAACAGCUGAACUGUGGCUCUCAGACCACUUCUGGUGGCACAGCUAUUUAUGUGGAGGUUACCGGCCACUUGAAUUCCUGUCCAUGGAAGACAGCAAGCAGAGAGGCCACAGGUGGCAGUGGGGCCACUGCUGGAGCCUGGAAGCCAGCUGACAGCACACCCGUCAGCUCCUGUUCAGAUGUGGGAGCCCUGGGGAGAGACAGACACCACGAGCCUAUGAAUUUUCCAAGAGCUCACUCAUCCUUCAGGUGGACCAGGGCACUUGUUACUACCACUUCUACAUCAGCUUUGAGUUAAAACUUGAGAGCGUAAGCACCAUACCAUUUAAGCUCCUUUAUUAAGUGAUGAGAGAUGCUACAGUAACCUCCUGGUAUCUGUCCAGAACAAAGCUGCUAGAAGGGUCACGCUCGCCCCUUAAUGAGAGACAGAGGAUAUGGCUGUUGGGGAGACAACAUGCUUGUGUCAGAGGCAGCUCAGAAAAGCCAGAGGUGGAGCGCACACCUCUACUUUUCUGGAGUGUAGACUUGAGAAAGGCCAGAACGCAAGAGAACUCAUGAGACAG